rnacentral:snoRNA from 1 species
CUAUUUGAUGAAGAAAUCACCUCCAAGAUCCUUGCUGGUCUCGACGUGGAGUACAACCCCGUCGUAUCAGCGCCCGCAACUCGGGUUGAACCGGUGUCGGUUCAGGAGUUGUACAACCAGCUCCUGACCUUCGACG